rnacentral:rRNA from 1 species
AGAGUUUGAUCCUGGCUCAGGACGAACGCUGGCGGCGUGCUUAACACAUGCAAGUCGAGCGGGGAUAUUGUUGGAAGGUUUCGGCUGGAAGAUAAUAUUCUAGCGGCGGACGGGUGAGUAACGCGUGAGCAAUCUGUCCCAGACAGGGGGAUAACAGAUGGAAACAUCUGCUAAUACCGCAUAAGACCACGGAUGGGCAUCCAUUUGAGGUAAAAGAUUUAUCGGUUUGGGGUGAGCUCGCGUCCGAUUAGGUAGUUGGUGAGGUAACGGCCCACCAAGCCCGCGAUCGGUAGCCGACCUGAGAGGGUGAUCGGCCACAUUGGAACUGAGACACGGUCCAUACUCCUACGGGAGGCAGCAGUAGGGAGUUUUCGGCAAUGGGGGAAACCCUGACCGAGCAACACCGCGUGAGUGAUGAAGGUCUUCGGAUUGUAAAACUCUGUUGUGUGGAAAAAAUGAUAGGUAGAGUGGAAAACUACUUAUUUGAUGGUACCACACCAGAAAGCCACGGCUAACUACGUGCCAGCAGCCGCGGUAAUACGUAGGUGGCAAGCGUUAUCCGGAAUCAUUGGGCGUAAAGCGUUCGUAGGCGGCAUGACAAGUCUGGUGUUAAAUCCCGGGGCUCAACCUCGGUUCGGCACUGGAUACUGUUGAGCUAGAAUGUGGUAGAGGUGAAGGGAAUUCCUGGUGUAGCGGUGAAAUGCGUAGAUAUCAGGAGGAACACCGGUGGCGUAAGCGCUUCACUGGGCCAUUAUUGACGCUGAGGAACGAAAGCCGGGGGAGCGAAUGGGAUUAGAUACCCCAGUAGUCCCGGCCGUAAACGAUGGAUACUAGGUGUUGCGGGUAUCGACCCCCUGCAGUGCCGAAACCAACGCGAUAAGUAUCCCGCCUGGGGAGUACGCACGCAAGUGUGAAACUCAAAGGAAUUGACGGGGACCCGCACAAGCGGUGGAACGUGUGGUUUAAUUCGAAGCAACGCGAAGAACCUUACCAGGGCUUGACAUCUGAAGAAUCUUUGUGAAAGCAAGGAGUGCCUUCGGGAGCUUCAAGACAGGUGGUGCACGGUUGUCGUCAGCUCGUGUCGUGAGAUGUUGGGUUAAGUCCCGCAACGGGCGCAACCCUCGUUAUUAGUUGCUGAUAGCGGCAUGCUGCUAUAGAGCUCUCUAAUAAGACUGCCGGUGACAAACCGGAGGAAGGUGAGGACGACGUCAAAUCAUCAUGCCCCUUAUGCUCUGGGCUACACACGUGUUACAAUGGCUGGUACAACGAGCAGCGAACUUGCGAGAGUAAGCGAAUCUCUAAAAGCCAGUCUCAGUUCGGAUUGGAGUCUGCAACUCGACUCCAUGAAGUCGGAAUCGCUAGUAAACGCAGAUCAGCACGCUGCGUUGAAUACGUUCCCGGGUCUUGCACACACCGCCCGUCA